rnacentral:lncRNA from 1 species
GUACAUCAUUAAAUUAACCAAAAGAAACACGAGAAAAAUUCAAAAACCAAAACAAGGGGUUUCAAUUUUAAUUCAUGGAUUAAAAGAAAUAGGGCUACAAAUUACAACAUUAUUUUUUCGCUACAACCCAUUCUUUCUAGAAACUCGUUCUAAGGCUAAGCUAGUUACAUGGUAAAAUAUUUUAUCAAGUGAAUUCAUAUUGAACUAAGCAGCAGCCUUCUUGGGAGAUUUGGUAGCCUUUGAGGGUGAUUUUGGUUCCUUAUCUGCACCAGUUUUCUUUGGCAACAAUACUGGGUUAAUGUUCGGAAUCACUCCACCAUGAGCAAUGGUCACUCAUUGCAGCAAUUUCCCAAGCUCUUCAUCAUUCCUCACAGCCAAUAACACAUGCCUCGGGAUAAUUCUAUUCUUCUUGUUCUCCUGUGCUGCAUUUCCAGCCAACUCCAAAACCUAGAACAAAUAUUCAAAUUCUGAAUGAUCAAUACAUGUGAACAAACAAGAUCCCAAUUGAAUUCUUUAUCAGGUUAUAUAUCAAAUAUACAUAUAGCUAAUCGUGUGUUUUCUACAUUAAUCCAGAGGAAUACAUAAAUAUCAAAAAUCAAAACAAAAACCUAGAUUACAAAAUAUUGGUUGAAAUGAUUUUUAAAAACACAAAAAACAUAGAUCUGAACAAGAAACGUUACCUCAG